rnacentral:rRNA from 1 species
GCGAACAGACGAGGAGCUUGCUCCUCUGACGUUAGCGGCGGACGGGUGAGUAACACGUGGAUAACCUACCUAUAAGACUGGGAUAACUUCGGGAAACCGGAGCUAAUACCGGAUAAUAUAUUGAACCGCAUGGUUCAAUAGUGAAAGACGGUUUUGCUGUCACUUAUAGAUGGAUCCGCGCCGCAUUAGCUAGUUGGUAAGGUAACGGCUUACCAAGGCAACGAUGCGUAGCCGACCUGAGAGGGUGAUCGGCCACACUGGAACUGAGACACGGUCCAGACUCCUACGGGAGGCAGCAGUAGGGAAUCUUCCGCAAUGGGCGAAAGCCUGACGGAGCAACGCCGCGUGAGUGAUGAAGGUCUUCGGAUCGUAAAACUCUGUUAUUAGGGAAGAACAAAUGUGUAAGUAACUAUGCACGUCUUGACGGUACCUAAUCAGAAAGCCACGGCUAACUACGUGCCAGCAGCCGCGGUAAUACGUAGGUGGCAAGCGUUAUCCGGAAUUAUUGGGCGUAAAGCGCGCGUAGGCGGUUUUUUAAGUCUGAUGUGAAAGCCCACGGCUCAACCGUGGAGGGUCAUUGGAAACUGGAAAACUUGAGUGCAGAAGAGGAAAGUGGAAUUCCAUGUGUAGCGGUGAAAUGCGCAGAGAUAUGGAGGAACACCAGUGGCGAAGGCGACUUUCUGGUCUGU